rnacentral:rRNA from 1 species
AUUGAACGCUGGCGGCAGGCCUAACACAUGCAAGUCGAGCGAGCGGCGGACGGGUGAGUAAUGUCUGGGAAACUGCCAGAUGGAGGGGGAUAACUACUGGAAACGGUAGCUAAUACCGCAUACCAUCAGAUGUGCCCAGAGUGGAUUAGCUAGUAGGUGAGGUAAAGGCUCACCUAGGCGACGAUCCCUAGCUGGUCUGAGAGGAUACCCAGACACACUGGAACGGAGACACGGUCCAGACUCCUCCGGGAGGCAGCAGUGGGGAAUAUUGCACAAUGGGCGAAAGCCUGAUGCAGCCAUGCCGCGUGUGUGAAGAAGGCCUUCGGGUUGUAAAGCACUUUCAGCGGGGAGGCGUUACCCGCAGAAGAAGCACCGGCUAACUCCGUGCCAGCAGCCGCGGUAAUAC